rnacentral:lncRNA from 1 species
UUAGGGAGCUACCAUUUGAUUUUUAUGGGGGGGGCUAGGAUGAAAAAUUUUGUCCUGCAUUUUUUUUUAGUUGUAAUCUCUGUCCUGCCUUUUUAUUUUUUACUCUAUUCGGUCCUGCCUUUUUUUUUAUUAGUUUAUCCUGACUUUUUUUACCUUAAUUGUCAUCCUGACUUUUUUUUUUGCAAAGUGUCUCAUUCUGCCUUUUUUUUUACUCAAAACUCCU